GGGCAGGAGAUUCGAGCGCACCAUCCAGGCGCUGUGCCGGAGAAACAGACCUCGGGGUCAGGAACAGGCAGGCCCUUGGCAUUUACGAGAAGCCCCGGGACUCGUGCUUGUGCAUGCUGAACGCUGCAGAAACCCUGGAGUGAGUCCUCUUUUGUCUCUGAGUCUGACCAGGUACUUAAACAUGGUUUAGAUUCUACAAUGUGGUCAUGCAUACAUCCUGAACUGAAGAAGCUUCUUGGAUAAGAAACGAAAAACAGUCUUCAAAUAAAAACCAGAAAGUCCAGUUGCCACUUGAAAAAAGCACCUUGGAGACAACCAUGACCUGGAUGACUGAGAAUGUCCAUACUGCAUAUACUGCCAAGGUACAAGGAGUUCUCACAGUCCAUUUGCGUAAUUGGGAAAUGAGCACCUUAAGCCUGUAGGCUUUUCUGGAUGAGCUCUAAAUGGUAAUAUAAGUUAUUGUAAUAUAUACAACCUGUUUAUUUGCUUAUACUGCUGAGUAGGAACCGGGACUUUUGUCACAAGAAGUGACACCACAGUGGCACCUCUAAUGAUCCUGACAAGAGUCUUCAGCGUAUCAGGAGUUCCCAAGUAGCCAUUCGAGGUUGUAUAAUUUUCCUAGAAUACUUUGCAGAAUUCUUCUCAGGGGGCUUUACAGGAAAUGUGAACAGAGCAGUUGGGAGACACAGAUGCCUGGCAAAGAGAGCCUUAUUGGACCUCUGAGCAUCCAAUAGUUGUGGGAGGAGGUGGGGUGUCUGCAGAGAAGUAAAAAUGUCAACAAGGCAGCACACCAAAUGGUUGAAUCCCCGUUCUUUUUUUGUAUGUGAAAAAAGAAGACCAGGAUUUCAGUCAUAAAAAGGCACUUCUUGACAUUUUUCACACACACACACACACACACACACACACACACACACCAAGAGUCCUAUGAGAAUACAAGAGGCUGAUAGUGGUCAUCAUCAUCAUCAUCAUCAAUCAUUUUAGCCAUUGUCUAUCCACUGCAGG